rnacentral:lncRNA from 1 species
AUUAAAUGUGUUUCCCCUCAUUUUGUCGCGAUCACUCCCGGUCAUCGGCACAAACACUUGAAAAGGCUGGGUUCAUUUCUUUUCAUCCCUUUUUUUAAUUUUUUUUUACUGGGAUAGUGCGACUUCCGUUUAUUUUGCUAACGCCCGUAUUUCUUUAUGCCAUCGUGGCUGUGAUACAUGUCUGAGCCGGGCAAGUAUUUGGUGAGGGCCAGUUAGCUACGAAAGUCGGUUGUGUUCCUUGUGAGAGGGGAAGAUGUGACAAUCAGACAGAGCAAAUGUUUCAUACAUUUUCUAAUUGACUGAUAGACACUUGCUAAUGUUAUUGUGUUGGAUUUAAAAGAAAUAGUUUGCGUGUGACAAUCUCUUUCGGGAGUUGUGGCGAAAGAUGUGGGAACUAUUAGACAUUCAUUUCCAUUUUUUUGCUAAGAGAAAACUUAAUUCGUUUCUAGAUAAUUGUAUAUGUCAUCAGGUUGAUGCCUGUGGUCUUCCCCCUAUAGCGCAGUGACUUUUCCAUGAAUGUUUCAAGCAAGUUUCAUUUAAGAAAAAAACCAAACAUGUUGAAAUAGCUAAAACGGGAUUCAUCAGCCAGUGACCUUUGCUGCUGGAGUUGAAACAGGAUCCGUAGCCGCGUUUCGUUUUUUUUUUCCAAGUUUGGGCACUACUAUUCAUCGACAACUAUAAUUAUACGCUGACAUUUGUACAUUAGCAGAGCAGUGCUGAACAGUCGCUUUAGGGCGAACAAACUACCGCAUCAAGUCUAUUGUCACGUGCAGUCCGAUGGAUGAAAUGCAACCGAAUCGAAUGACUUCCAUCUUUGUUUGAACGAACGAACCGUUUUUGGACGUUUGAAAGCCAGUUUGAAAAUAAGGAAAAAAGAGAGGAUAAAAAAGCAGAUGCGGGACAGGUGAAGGUGAAUAGUACUUGCGGACCCUCCGGGGCUUGGUGAUGGCCGACGCCCAAAGAUAUGCACACACCGAAAAAGAAAAAAGAUCUAUUUUUUUUUCCGGACAAUAUGAAAAGAAACAAGAAAAAAAGAAUGGCUUGAAGAAAUCAACAAAAGAUGCAGUCUCAUCCGCAAUACGUCGCUCUGACCUUGGCAAUGAAACCGAUGGCUGUCUGAAUAAUCUUUAUGCCAGCAGUUCCGGUGCCGUAAAAGGCAUUAAAGGUUAUUGACUGCCCUCACGCCCAUGCAGAUGAAUCUUUUCAUUCCUGAUCUCGAUCAAAAAUCGCCCACCGGGGUCAGCCCUCCAUUAAAAUGAUUGCGCUUGAUUUCUGCGAACGGAAACUCAUUUACAAUAACAACACCUUGGCAACGGUUGGCGAAAAAUUCGUGUGCCAAUGUCAUUAUCAGAACAUUCAAAACAAGUUGGUCUUUUCUUUUGAUGGGCAAAGGAAGAAACAACUCCACCCAUCAUGAUGUGUUGCUAACAUCAAGCGUGCACAUCAAAGUAAAGUUUCCUUGAUGGUUGUCAGGUGGCGAAAACAAAGUAGAACUUUGUUUUUAUUGGUGUCUUUUAAUAGACAAUCCCUUCUCCGGUCUGAAACCGAUCGAUUCAAUCAUUGCUGUUCCACUCUAAUACGGUCCGGCCAUUGAGAACAAGGACACAGCGUUGGAUGUUAAAAAGAUCGAAACAGCAGCUAUUGCUACUCCUUAUGCUACCUCUAUUCAACCAGCUACGUUUAUGGAGGUUACCCAUACGCUGCCGGACCUUCGAGCGGACCUUUGGGUUAUGGUAUGUUAUACCCUUAAACCUGGAAUCUGUUACGGAAAUUAAACCCGUCGUCAAAGCUGCGGAAACUGCUGAAAAAUCAGCCGAAAAAGCCAAGGCUGCUGAGACUGUCGUCACCGACGAUCUACGUACAAUCGGCCAUGAAUUAAUGGCAACCGUAUAUGCACAAUUUAUUUAGUUAUUGCCUUGUUAUUUUUGAUGUUUUCGUUGUACUCUCAUUUAAUAAUAAACUUUUUGUUGCAAAUUCA